CAGCCGCCGCGGUAAUACAGAGGGUGCGAGCGUUAAUCGAAUUUACUGGGCGUAAAGCGUGCGUAGGCGGCUUCUUAAGUCGGAUGUGAAAUCCCUGAGCUUAACUUAGGAAUUGCAUUCGAUACUGGGAAGCUAGAGUAUGGGAGAGGAUGGUAGAAUUCCAGGUGUAGCGGUGAAAUGCGUAGAGAUCUGGAGGAAUACCGAUGGCGAAGGCAGCCAUCUGGCCUAAUACUGACGCUGAGGUACGAAAGCAUGGGGAGCAAACAGGAUUAGAGACCCCCGUAGUCCCUGUCUCUUAUAC
rnacentral:rRNA from 1 species